rnacentral:rRNA from 1 species
CACGUAGGGUGCGAGCGUUGUCCGGAUUUAUUGGGCGUAAAGAGCUCGUAGGUGGUUCGGUAAGUCGGGUGUUAAACCCCCAGGCUCAACCUGGGGACGCCACUCGAUACUGCUGUGACUAGAGUCCGGUAGGGGAGCGUGGAAUUCCUGGUGUAGCGGUGAAAUGCGCAGAUAUCAGGAGGAACACCAGCGGCGAAGGCGGCGCUCUGGGCCGGUACUGACACUGAGGAGCGAAAGCGUGGGUAGCAAACAGG